rnacentral:lncRNA from 1 species
UUAGCUGGGCAGCAUCUAAAUCAUCACACGAUAUUAGUGUUUUCCCACUCUAGGUCUGCAGCAUAUAUCCAUUCUCCGGACCCAUUGUGAUUUUAACAGAGCAAGCAGUCAUAGGUGCCUUGCAGACCCCAGGCUCUCAGUGGACUUGUUUGCCUUGUGGGCCUCAGUCACAGCCACCCUAAGCAGCAGCAUCACCAUCUGACACAUUGGAAAGGAAACUCUAUCCAGAAGGCUGACUCUUCAAGGUGGAUAUCUAUCAAAGAGAGGUGUGACCCAACGGCGGCCAGGGAUCACUGAGAAGCUGGACGAUCUGCUGCCCUCAGUCAAGAUGCUGGGAGGUGCAGAAGCCUGGGUCCAAGAGGACAUUUCCUUGGUAACAGUUUGGAAAGCAUACCCACAGAGAUGGUUCCUUUCUGGGCAGAGGAAGAUACUGCUGUGUUAUGCAUUUUCUAGCCACAAAUCAAAAGUGACAUUCCUUGACCUGUGCUCCAAUUGGGGACUGUGAAGGACAUAAUAAGGAGAAACUCUGGAUGUUAAUUAUCAAAGAAAAGAGAUGACAGCACCACACUAACCAACAAGUGGCAUUUGGUUCUGGUUGCCGAGAUGAUGAGAUGGAUGGUACACGGUAUGCAUCAGACAAAGCCAGGUAGCUUGUCUGUGAACACAGUUGCUGCUCUGAAAGCAACAUAAAGCUUCCUGUUUCUCACCAUUCAGCAUUUUGGGAAAUAGCAUCACUUUGGAAGGUUGCCUGUUUGAGUGUCAAAGCCAUCUGUACCGUGCUCAGUUGACACCCUCUGUAAUGUAUGUAACCUCUCAUGUAUCUUGUAAACAUUAAAUUGAG